AUACGGAGGAUCCGAGCGUUAUCCGGAUUUAUUGGGUUUAAAGGGUGCGCAGGCGGCCAUUUAAGUCAGCGGUUAAAUCGUGGGGCUCAACCCCAUUCUGCCGUUGAUACUGGGUGGCUUGAUUGCGGUCGAGGUUGGCGGAAUUCGUUGUGUAGCGGUGAAAUGCAUAGAUAUGACGAAGAACACCGAUGGCGUAGGCAGCUGACCAGACCGCAAAUGACGCUCAUGCACGAAAGUGCGGGGAUCGAACAGGAUUAGAUACCCUGGUAGUCCGCACAGUAAACGAUGAAUACUUGUUUUCGGCGAUAUAAUGUCGGAGGCAAAGCGAAAGCGAUAAGUAUUCCACCUGGGGAGUACGCCGGCAACGGUGAAACUCAAAGGAAUUGACGGGG
rnacentral:rRNA from 1 species